rnacentral:rRNA from 1 species
GGACCCGCACAAGCGGUGGAGCAUGUGGUUUAAUUCGAUGCAACGCGAAAAAACCUUACCUACUCUUGACAUACUUGGGAGCUCUUGUAAUGAGAGUGUGCCUUUUGGAACCAAGAUACAGGUGCUGCAUGGCUGUCGUCAGCUCGUGUCGUGAGAUGUUCCGUUAAGUCGGAUAACGAGCGCAACCCUUACCCUUAUUUGCCAGCGAUCGGUCGGGAACUAUAAGGGGACUGCCGGUGAUAAGCCGGAGGAAGGUGGGGAUGACGUCAAGUCCUCAUGGCCCUUAUGGGCUGGGCUACACACGUGCUACAAUGGUGCUGACAGAGGGCAGCUAGCUCGCGAGAGUAAG